rnacentral:rRNA from 1 species
UACGGGGGGAGCAAGCGUUGUUCGGAUUUAUUGGGCGUAAAGAGCUCGUAGGCGGUUCGGUAAGUCAGGUGUGAAAUCUCCACGCUCAACGUGGAGGGGCCACCUGAUACUGCCGUGACUCGAGUCCGGUAGGGGAGUGUGGAAUUCCCGGUGUAGCGGUGAAAUGCGCAGAUAUCGGGAGGAACACCAGUAGCGAAGGCGGCACUCUGGGCCGGAACUGACGCUGAGGAGCGAAAGCGUGGGUAGCAAACAGG